rnacentral:rRNA from 1 species
CACGAACGCUGGCGGCGUGGGUAAGACAUGCAAGUCGAACGGGACAAGUAGCAAUAUUUGUCUAGUGGCGAACGGGUGCGUAACACGUGGGCAACAUGCCUGGAAGAGCGGGAUAGCCCGGGGAAACUCGGAUUAAUACCGCAUGUGACAACGGGGCGGAUUCGCCCUGUUUUCAAAGGUGGGGACCGCAAGGCCUGCCGCUUCCAGAUUGGCCCGCGUCCUAUCAGCUAGUUGGCGGGGUAACGGCCCACCAAGGCGACGACGGGUAGCUGGUCUGAGAGGACGACCAGCCACACUGGAACUGAGACACGGUCCAGACACCUACGGGUGGCAGCAGUCGAGAAUCUUUCACAAUGGGGGAAACCCUGAUGGAGCGACGCCGCGUGGAGGAUGACGGUCUUCGGAUUGUAAACUCCUGUCAUGAAAGAACAAGCGGAGCGGGUGAACAGCCCGCCGAGUUGAUAGUAUUUCAAGAGGAAGGGACGGCUAACUUCGUGCCAGCAGCCGCCGUAAGAC